rnacentral:rRNA from 1 species
AUGGACCCGGGGCCCUCGUCUGCCAGCGCUGACCCGUCCCCGCCAGAGGAGGAGGAGGAAGAGGAGGAGGAGGAGGAGCGCGACAGCAGCACCGGCAGCACGUGGGUGUUCGUGCCGGGGAGCGAGGUACUGGGUGCCGACGCCCCCAAGGUCGUCGGCUGGGAGGAGCUUCAGCAGGAGCUCGCGCGCCUCUGGAGCCUGUCCGCCGCGCUCGCCGCCGCCAGGGACCGCAAGGCCGGCCUCGCCGCGCGCCUCGAGUCCGCGCUCGAGGCAAGAAAGGCAGUUCUUCAGCAGGAUAAUGAGUUGGCUGAGAUGAGGCAGAGAUUGCAAUCUCAUGCUGAUUUUAUGGGGGAAUUGAGGAUGCAAACGAAGGAAGUGUCUGCGAAUGUUGAUGAUUGGAGGGAGCAACUUUGUGUCAAGAUCAGAACGCUGACAGUAGCAGACAAAACUGUUGGCGCAGCACAAAGUAAAUUACAGGAACCUUGUAAAUUGCUGUCUGGGGAACAUGGCCAUGGUCGUCUUAAAGGUCUGGAACGAAUGUUACGGAUGAGACAACAAUACAUGAUAGGACAAGUUGCUCAGAUAUACCCUGUGAGGCCCUUGAAUGAGCAAUCUCCAAUUGUAAAGCCUGGAUUAAACUCUAGUAUCACUAGAACAGGAGUUAGUGAAGCAGUGUCGCCCAAUGGUUACCAAAACGGACAGGCACCUUUGGCCAUUUUGGGUCUACAGUUAUCAAAGCUUUCUAUAAAAAAGACCAGCUACUUCAGUGACAAGACAGAGAUUCAAAAGUCUGCUACUCUUCUUGGAUAUGUUGCACAUGCGGUCUCCCUUAUUGCAUCAUAUCUCGAUGUUCCUCUUCGAUAUCCACUACGGUUGGGAGGUUCACAUUCGUAUAUUGUUGAUCAUGCACCUUCAGUUGACCCAUCUAUAGCCCCAGGAGUAAGUUCUUCUACCCCUUCGAGCACGAGCAUGAGGACAAUGGAAUUUCCUCUGUUUUUUGAAGGCCAAGAAACAACAAGAUCGGCAUAUGCUGUAUUCUUGUUAAACAAGGAUGUCGAACAACUUCUGAACCACAUUGGCGCUGAAAGUCUUGGCCCAAGACAUGUACUAGCUAACCUGAAGCAGCUAACAACCAUUGUCCAGUCACAACAAUACAUUUCUGAUUGA